GUGUCAGCAGCCGCGGUAAUACGAGAGGCCCAAACGUUAUUCGGAAUUACUGGGCUUAAAGAGUUCGUAGGCGGUAUGGAAAGUAGGGUGUGAAAGCCCUCGGCUCAACCGAGGAAUUGCGCUCUAAACUGCCGUACUUGAGGAAGCUAGAGGUGAGCGGAACUGAUGGUGGAGCGGUGAAAUGCGUUGAUAUCAUCAGGAACACCGGAGGCGAAGGCGGCUCACUGGGGCUUUUCUGACGCUGAGGAACGAAAGCCAGGGUAGCGAACGGGAUUAGAAACCCGUGUAGUCC
rnacentral:rRNA from 1 species